rnacentral:rRNA from 1 species
GACGAACGCUGGCGGCGUGCUUAACACAUGCAAGUCGAACGGAAAGGCCCUGCUUUUGUGGGGUGCUCGAGUGGCGAACGGGUGAGUAACACGUGAGUAACCUGCCCUUGACUUUGGGAUAACUUCAGGAAACUGGGGCUAAUACCGGAUAGGAGCUCCUGCUGCAUGGUGGGGGUUGGAAAGUUUCGGCGGUUGGGGAUGGACUCGCGGCUUAUCAGCUUGUUGGUGGGGUAGUGGCUUACCAAGGCUUUGACGGGUAGCCGGCCUGAGAGGGUGACCGGCCACAUUGGGACUGAGAUACGGCCCGGACUCCUACGGGAGGCAGCAGUGGGGAAUAUUGCACAAUGGGCGGAAGCCUGGUGCAGCAACGCCGCGUGCGGGAUGACGGCCUUCGGGUUGUAAACCGCUUUCGCCUGUGACGAAGCGUGAGUGACGGUAAUGGGUAAAGAAGCACCGGCUAACUACGUG